rnacentral:rRNA from 1 species
CUACGGGACGCUCCAGUGGGGAAUAUUGGGCAAUGGGCGAAAGCCUGACCCAGCAACGCCGCGUGAAGGAAGAAGGUUUUCGGAUCGUAAACUUCUAUCCCGGGUGAAGAUAAUGACGGUAGCCCGGAAGGAAGCCCCGGCUAACUACGUGCCAGCAGCCGCGGUAAUACGUAGGGGGCAAGCGUUGUCCGGAAUGAUUGGGCGUAAAGGGCGCGUAGGCGGCCUUUUAAGUCCGAUGUGAAAGUCCUGCUUUUAAGGUGGGAAUUGCAUUGGAAACUGGAAGGCUUGAGUGCAGGAGAGGUAAGUGGAAUUCCCGGUGUAGCGGUGAAAUGCGUAGAGAUCGGGAGGAACACCAGUGGCGAAGGCGACUUACUGGACUGUAACUGACGCUGAGGCGCGAAAGUGUGGGGAGCAAACAGGAUUAGAUACCCCCGUAGUC